rnacentral:rRNA from 1 species
AGAAUCAACGCUGGCGGCGUGCCUAACACAUGCAAGUCGAACGAGAAAGUGGAGCAAUCCAUGAGUACAGUGGCGUACGGGUGAGUAACACGUGACUAACCUACCCUCGAGUGGGGAAUAACCUCGGGAAACCGGGGCUAAUACCGCAUAACAUCUACGGAUCAAAUGCGUAAGCAGCUUGAGGAGGGGGUCGCGGCUGAUUAGCUAGUUGGCGGGGUAAUGGCCCACCAAGGCAGUGAUCUGUA